rnacentral:rRNA from 1 species
UUCCGGUUGAUCCUGCCGGAGGACAUUGCUAUUGGGAUUCGAUUUAGCCAUGCUAGUCGAACGAGUUCACACUCGUGGCAGAUAGCUCAGUAACACGUGGCCAAGCUACCCUUCAGUCGGCAAUACCCUCGGGAAACUGAGGUUAAUGGCCGAUAUGGAACAGUCGCUGGAAUGCACUGUUUUCUAAAGACACCGCUGAAGGAUGCGGCUGCGGCCGAUUAGGUAGACGGUGGGGUAACGGCCCACCGUGCCAGUAAUCGGUACGGGUGAUGAGAGUCAGAGCCCGGAGACGGAAUCUGAGACAAGAUUCCGGGCCCUACGCGGCGCAGCAGGCGCGAAACCUUUACACUGCACGGAAGUGCGAUAGGGGAAUCCCAAGUGCGAGGGCAUAUUAGCCCUCGCUUUUGUUGACUCUAAGGCGGUCAACGAAUAAGAGCUGGGCAAGACCGGUGCCAGCCGCCGCGGUAAUACCGGCAGCUCAAGUGAUGUCCCAUAUUAUUGGGCCUAAAGCGUCCGUAGCUGGCCGCGCAAGUCCGUCGGGAAAUCCACCUGCCCAACAGGUGGGCGUCCGGCGGAAACUGUGUGGCUUGGAACCGGAAGGCUCAGAGAGUACGUCCGGGGUAGGAGUGAAAUCCCGUAAUCCCGGACGGACUACCGAUGGCGAAAGCACUCUGAGAAGACGGCUUCGACAGUGAGGGACGAAAGCUCGGGUCUCAAACCGGAUUAGAUACCCGGGUAGUC